rnacentral:rRNA from 1 species
GAUGAACGCUGGCGGCGUGCUUAACACAUGCAAGUCGAGCGAACAGACGAGGCGUUUGUUCCUUUCACGUUAGCGGCGGACGGGUGUGAAACAUGUGGAAACCCUCCUUUAAUGUCUGGUAACAUUUCGGGACACGGGCUCUAAUCCCGGAUAAUCUCUUGCACCGCAGGGUUCAUUAGUGAAUUACGGUUUUGCUGUCUCUUCUCGCUGCUUCCGCGCUGCUUUAGCUGGUUGGUAAGGUAAAGGCUUACCAAGGCAACGAUGCGUAGCCGACUGGAGAGGGUGGUCGGCCACACUAGAACUGGAACGCGGUCCAGACUCCUACGGGAGGCAGCAGUAGGGAAUCGUCCGCAAUGGGCGAAAGCCUGACGGAGCAACGCCGCGUGAGUGAUGAAGGUCUUCGGAUCGUAAAACUCUGUUAUUAGGGAAGAACAAAUGUGUAAGUAACUAUGCACGUCUUGACGGUACCUAAUCAGAAAGCCACGGCUAACUACGUG